rnacentral:rRNA from 1 species
UACGAAGGGGGCUAGCGUUGCUCGGAAUCACUGGGCGUAAAGCGCACGUAGGCGGUUUGUUAAGUCAGGGGUGAAAUCCUGGAGCUCAACUCCAGAACUGCCUUUGAUACUGAGGAUCUUGAGUACGGGAGAGGUGAGUGGAACUGCGAGUGUAGAGGUGAAAUUCGUAGAUAUUCGCAAGAACACCAGUGGCGAAGGCGGCUCACUGGCCCGUUACUGACGCUGAGGCACGAAAGCGUGGGGAGCAAACAGG